rnacentral:rRNA from 1 species
CCUACGGGUGGCAGCAGUGAGGAAUAUUGGUCAAUGGCCGGAAGGCUGAACCAGCCAAGCCGCGUGAAGGACGAAGGUGCCAAGCAUUGUAAACUUCUUUUGUCAAGGGACAAAAUCAGGCUCGAGAGCCUGACCGAGGGUACUUGAAGAAAAAGCAUCGGCUAACUCCGUGCCAGCAGCCGCGGUAAUACGGAGGAUGCGAGCGUUAUCCGGAUUUAUUGGGUUUAAAGGGUGCGUAGGCGGGCUGUUAAGUCAGCGGUCAAAUGUCGGGGCUCAACCCCGGCCUGCCGUUGAAACUGGCGGCCUCGAGUGGGCGAGAAGUAUGCGGAAUGCGUGGUGUAGCGGUGAAAUGCAUAGAUAUCACGCAGAACUCCGAUUGCGAAGGCAGCAUACCGGCGCCCGACUGACGCUGAGGCACGAAAGCGUGGGUAUCGAACAGGAUUAGAUACCCGAGUAGUC